rnacentral:lncRNA from 1 species
CUUUGUUUCAAAUCCAACUUCAAAUAUUAUUUUUUUCAUUAUGGAAUAAUGAAGAAAAAAUUCAAUAUACAACCCCCCCCUCCCCCAAUUCAAGAGUAUUGAAAUGAGAUAUUUUAGUGAUGUUUCAUACUUCCCCUAUUCCUCCCCUCAUCAUUGCUUUCUGAUUUCAACCCUAAGUUAGCAAAGUUUAGGAGGAGGUGAUGUGACAAUCACAAACUGUUUUUUUUUUUGUUGUUGUUGAAAAAUAUUUUAGUGUCCAGUUGAUUUGAACAGGAUACGAGCAUACUCAUGUUGGCAGGUCAUGUUCCAGACAAAAAUUAUCAGUGUGCAAGGUGUACAUUUACUUUUUUUUUUUUUUUAAAGAAAAAAGUAUCUAGUUUCCUUCCGUUUUACAGACAUCUAAACAUUUCUUUUGACCUAACAUGGUGUGAUAGGUGGGAGGAGGCCAGAAAGGAUGUCAUACAGGGUACUUACUCCUUCAAUGAGUCCAUUUUGAUUGCAGAUCUGAAGACAUUUCUUCAAAAUGGCAAGUGAGGUGAUUUAUGCAGAGGUAUCACGUGAGGAAAGAAUGCGUUUUACUUCACAAAAUUCAGACGCAGGUGAUCAGAUCACCUAUGCUGAGGUGAAAGUGAAAUGGAAAUCUGACAACACCAACAAUACAUCCACGUCUACACAUACAAGUAUGGCAAUACAGCAGGAAAUUUAUAUCUUUCUCAUUAAAUGUUAUCCUCUUUGUAUACCGUUUAUUAUUAAUUACAUAUUACACGUAAUGGAAGAGUUACUUGGUGCUAGGUUUCCAGAGAUGUAGGUAUGAUUUAGGCAAAUUUAAAAACCAUCAAAGAUUUUCCCUGUUGCUCGUUACCCCUGCCUGGAGGCUGACGGUGAGUGUUUACAAAGUUAGCAUGUGCAGCCACGGGUUCCCAUCCCAGGUUUUGUUUCGGCCAAGCUUCUUGUCCCUCUGCCACAGCUAAGCCUACAAGGAUUUAUGGCACCCCUGUCCCUUGCAUUAGGGUGCCUCUGCGGCUCAGUCCAGCAAAUCUUUUUCUUGUGUCAGUGCUUGACUGGGUGGAUCGCACCAGGGAGUAAGUGAUGGUCUGAGGGCAUGGUGGUGCAGACAUAUUUGUGUCCCUGCUGCUCACUGCAAGGAGCUCUGGAGCACACUGGCUGCAUCUGCACAGCAGAAUGCCUGGCCCCCUCUUUCCCUUAGGCCCC